UUCGGGAUUGUGUAAUGGUAGCACAACGGCUUUUGGAGCCGUUUGUCUAGGUUCGAAUCCUAGUCCCGAAG
rnacentral:tRNA from 1 species